CCCCUAGAUGUUCUGGGCCGCACGCGCGCUACACUGAACAGUUCAACAAGUCUUAACCUUGGCCGAUAGGUCUGGGUAAUCUUUGAACGCUGUUCGUGAUUGGGAUAGACCUUUGCAAUUAUGGGUCUUCAACGAGGAAUUCCUAGUAAACGCAAGUCAUCAGCUUGCAUUGAUUACGUCCCUGCCCUUUGUACACACCGCCCGUCGCACCUACCGAUUGAAUGGUCCGGUGAAAUAUCGGGACGGCGGCUUGGUCGCUUGCGUCCGACUGCUGAAACUUGAUUAAACCAUAUCAUUUAGAGGAAGGUGAAGUCGUAACA
rnacentral:rRNA from 1 species